UUAUUUGUGUUAAAUGGAAGGUUACAUGGAGAACUAUAUAUAGUGGCCUUUUCUAAAUUCUUUAUAAAUGCUGCUAACAGAUGUUAUUUUGACUCACUAAAAUAGAUAUAAAUAUGAUGUAUGUGAUGUUAUUACACAUAAGUCUUUUCGUUGUCCAAAAGCCGAAGAAUAUAUUAGACCUUUAUACAGAUGUUUUAGAUGUCAAGCAUUUUCAGGUUUUUGGAACACUAAUUCGUAGGAAUUUAGAAGCGCUUCGAUGAAUACUUCAAUGCAUAGAAGCCAACAGGUUGGCCGUGCAAAAGAAACUACAUCAACUUCAAAAUUUGAUAGAAUAGGAAAUGAGAGCAAUAAAAGAGAGGUACUCGUCAGCGAUAUAAUAGAGGGAGACGGGAGACGUACGCGAAGCAAUCAAGACCGUGAAGAAUAGCAAAUCCUCUGGAUUAGAUUCCAUCCGUACUGAGCUUCUAAAACAUGAUAGAGUCAAAAUUACUAAGUUUCUCAGUCGAAACAGACUUACGUAUAAUAUUCUCUCUUCUUCAGUUCGUCUCUCACUAUCGAAAUACUUUUACCAACCGCUUCACCAAGUCUUCACGAAAAUUUGGCUAUUACGCUUACGGCAAUAUAUUGAAAAAGCACUUAAUAUUUGCGAAGAGGAAAAUAGCAUCCCAUACAGGAAGCUUUGAAAGCGCAGCACCAACUGGCCUUUUUUGGUAUAUCGAUAUUACUGAAUAAUCGAUAAUGUUUUAAAAAGAUGCUUAAAACACUCAUUGAGAUCACGAAAGGAAUGUGAUAAGAAAGUAUUAGCAGCAAGUCAAAAUGGAUUUCGAUUAAGAAGUAUUUCUUUCAGACAUUAAAGAUAUAUAUUUUCAGCUAAGCCGAAAUAUCGUCUCAUAUA